GUCCUGUACAUUAAACUUAGAGUGUUGCUAAGGAUACUGCCAAGCAAUGUUUAAGGAAUAAGGACAUUGAUGCAUGAUAUCCUUGAUAAUCUUAUAUUGCCACUAUGCGGUGUAAGAGUCUAUUUAUAAGCAGUGAUGAUAUGAGCCGUGUGAGUCUUGCCUCGGCCACAGAGUAAUUACAUAGAGAAGUCUCACUUCUGCGGGAUAGAUGAUUAUUAUCUAUUUGCGCACUUUUGUCAAAUGAUUCUAUUCAUCUAUUUAUCCCUGAGACUGUGGCACUGUGCUGAAUUAGAGUACAUUCAUGUCACAAAAUAUAACAUGAAGUACGCGAAACAUCGCGGGCGCUUUGAUACAAAAUGUCAAAAUUUCCAAUUUUCAAACAAAAUGUUGCAAAAUAUAAACAAAUUCUCAUAAUUUAAUAUUAUUAGAAUUUGUUAACGCGCAAGUUUACGGUGUGCUACAUACCCUAUUGUGGAAUUCAUUGAACCUUACUAUAAUGUCAGAUAAUUGGCCUACAAAUGAUACAAUGAAAUUUCCAAACUACAGAAUUUUAUAUUUUGUACCAAAUAUUAUAGGUAAGAAAU
rnacentral:lncRNA from 1 species